rnacentral:misc_RNA from 1 species
GAUGAAGAACGUAGCGAAAUGCGAUAAGUAAUGUGAAUUGCAGAAUUCAGUGAAUCAUCGAAUCUUUGAACGCACCUUGCGCUCCUUGGUAUUCCGAGGAGCAUGCCUGUUUGAGUGUCAUUAAAUUCUCAACCUUAUUGGCUUUUGCUGAUAAUGGCUUGGACUUGGGGGUCUUUUUGCUGGCUUUCAUUAGUCUGCUCCCCUUAAAUGUAUUAGCCGGUGCCCCGCAGUGGAACCGUCUAUUGGUGUGAUAAUUAUCUACGCCGUGGACGUCUGCUAUAAUGGGUUUGCGCUGCUUCUAACCGUCUCUCGGGACAACACAAAUGACAAUUUGACCUCAAAUCAGGUAGGACUACCCGCUGAACUUAAGAAUAUCAAUAAGCGGAGGA